rnacentral:lncRNA from 1 species
GGCCCUGAAGCAACAGCCACAGCAUCAAAAUGAAAGACUCAAGAAAUUACUGCAGGAUUUAUUCUGGUGAGAAGAAGGAAGAUACCUCCAGGAAGAUGUGUGAUCCAGAAACAGAAAUCUAGAAUAGGAGCAAGAUGAAAGAGAACUCUGGGGACUGUUCUGCUGGAGAUCUAAUAACACAGAAACAUCCUGUAGCCAUUUGACCCAUAGACGACUGAUCAAAUCAAAGAAGCCAGUGAUUCAUGAAGAGUGGGCUCUGGCUGCUAUUUCUUGUUGGCAUUUUACCAGGGUGGAAAAUGGAAAGCCAAGAAAGAAGCACCUUGACAAUGAAAAUAUCCUUUUAAUGACAACUUUUAUCAAUUAGGGUAAUCCACUGAACCUGGAACUCACCAAUUGGCUAGACUGGCUGCCUAGUGAGCCCCAGGGAUCCUCCCGUGUGUCUUCCUCCAAAGUUCCAUGAUGGCAGCAGGUGUUUAACGAGAAACUACCACAUCCCAAGCACUACUCAAAUGGAG